GAUCCACGGGGGGCAGCAGUGGGGAAUAUUACACAAUGGGCGAAAGCCUGAUGCAGCAACGCCGCGUGAAGGAAGACGGAUUUCGGAUUGUAAACUUCUAUCAAUAGGGAAGAAAGAAAUGACGGUACCUAAAUAAGAAGCCCCGGCUAACUACGUGCCAGCAGCCGCGGUAAUACGUAGGGGGCAAGCGUUAUCCGGAAUUACUGGGUGUAAAGGGAGAGUAGGCGGCGAGGUAAGCGAUAUGUGAAAGUC
rnacentral:rRNA from 1 species